AUUGUCCCAUUAUAUAUUUUUUAACUUCAUAUAUAAAAAAGAUCGCUUAAUACGAGCAAUCAACCACAAAAACACUAUGUGAUUGGAGAGCGAACACGCACACUUUAAAGAUUGCUUAAAACAAAAGAAAACUUAUUUUCCGCUCACAAAUUGAACACAAUAAUACUCAGUUGUAUAAGUAUGAAGUAUGCUUCAUAUCUUUAUUUCACUAAAUCUGAUACUCGAAUAUAUAAACCACAAGAUGAUGUCGAGUUUUUCUGCAUGCUGUGUAAUAAAAAGUUUACAGCUCAUAUUGGUUGAACAUCUAACAUUAAGAGACAUUAACAAAGAAAACAUCACGACAUUUUGGGUAAGUGGUUUGACUAAUACGACACACUAAACAAAUCAAAUAAAAAGCAAAACGUGCUAGAUGCAGAUACUUUGAACGCUAUCAAGUUCUUUAUUACAUCAAACUGCUCAAUAAUUGGAUUUAAUAACCUCUUUUGGAGGAAAAUAGUCAAACUUCCGCUUCCUUGUGCAAAAAGAGAAAACUUGAUACCAGAAACAAUGGCAAAAUUAACAAACAUAAUUAACAAAAACUUAGAGGAUGCCCUGGUUGUCAUUUUAUUUAGUGAUAUAUGGACAUCUCCUGAAAUGUAGGACUUUAUUGCGGUUGGUGCAACAUUAACGAACAGUGAUUCAAAAAAAGAAGUCAUCGUUAUUGGUAUGGAACAGAUGACGGGACGUCACAAUGCAAAAAAUAUUAAAUUAGGAGUUGAAAAGAUUAUUAAAACCUUUACCUUCAAUAAAUCAAAAAAAUAAGCUAUUACAUGUGAUGAAGGGAGCUCAUUCGUCAGACUGUUUAAGCAAUUAUUUUAAAAGGGAGCUCAUUUGUCAGACUGUUUAAGCAAUUAUUUUAAAAGUCUCAAAAAGAAAGAGUUGAAGAGACGAAAGGUGGCGAUAGUGCAUAUGAAAAUGAUCCAUUGCUGAACCAAGAGGUUGCCCUAAUAUUGAAAAAAAGAUAACGAGCAGCUAAAAAUAGGUAAAGAUGAAGUCUUAAAUAUUGAAAUUCAAACCUCUGGUGAACUUCUUGAAGUGCUAUUAACUGAAUUAACGAAGCUUACUUAUACAAUUGUUAUUCAGUAAGCCAAAACAGUUGAGGAAAUAAACAUCACUUAUGACUUUAACGAAGAAAAUGAAUACGAUCUUCAUAGAGCUGAGCUAACUUCGCAUGCAUUAACUAUUAUUAUUAAUAAUUUCAAAAUGGAGUAGAAUGGAGUUGUUAAUUUCUUCUUUUAAAAUUAAAGUUUCAGUACGAACUUAACUCAGGAAUUUAUCAAGUAGCAUCACUGUUGAAUAUCUCAAAGCUUAAAUUGUGGUUGUUUAUACCUGAUUGUCAAUUUAUUA